rnacentral:tmRNA from 1 species
GGGGCUGACUUGGAUUUCGACAGAUUUCUUGUCGCACAGAUAGCAUGCCAAGCGCUGCUUGUAAAACAGCAACAAAAAUAACUGUAAACAACGCAGAUUACGCUCCAGCUUACGCUAAAGCUGCGUGAGUUAAUCUCCUUUUGGAGCUGGACUGAUUGAAAUUUCUAGCGUUUUAAUCACUCCAUAACCUUAAGCUAGACGCUUUUAAAAGGUGGUUCGCCUUUUAAACUAAGAAACAAGAACUCUUGAAACUAUCUCAAGGUUUUAGAAAGUUGGACCAGAGCUAGUUUUAAGGCUAAAAACUAACCAAUUUUCUAAGCAUUGUAGAAGUUUGUGUUUAGGACAAGAUUUUUGGACUGGGGUUCGAUUCCCCACAGCUCCACCA